rnacentral:rRNA from 1 species
CGAACGGGUGAGUAACACGUGAGUAACCUGCCCCAGAGUGGGGGACAACAGUUGGAAACGACUGCUAAUACCGCAUAAGCCCACGGAACCGCAUGGUUCUGGGGGAAAAGGAGCAAUUCGCUUUGGGAUGGACUCGCGUCCGAUUAGCUAGAUGGUGAGGUAACGGCCCACCAUGGCGACGAUCGGUAGCCGGACUGAGAGGUUGAUCGGCCACAUUGGGACUGAGACACGGCCCAG